rnacentral:lncRNA from 1 species
GGGAUCUGUCAAUUUUCAUAUGCAUGGCAUUUGCCUUUCAAAUAGAAAUUUAAGAAUCAUUUAAUUUCUUAAAAAAAAAAGAAUCAUUGAAUUUCUGAUUUGAGUUGAAAUCUGACUUGAGAUUUGUUUUUGUCUUUUCUUAGGUUUGGUGUGGUGGACUUUCUUUGAGUACUGGGAUGCAGGUUCCAAGUGCUGUGAGAACACUUCAGAAAAGUGAAAAUGGAAUGACUGGUUCAGCCAGCAGCCUGAACAAUGUUACUCAGUAACGCCUAUGCAGAAUGUUUACCCUCCCUCUUGACUGGGUGGCCUUUUCUGUGCAGUUACCUAUCACAGAAAUUUGUGAGUGGUGGAAAUCAGGUUUGCUAUGUUCUGCUUUAAGGCCUGGAAUCUCUUAGCUUAAGCAUCUAGUAUGAAGCAUUUACAGGAAUCUACUGUGCAAUAUCAUAGAAGCAAGCAGUUCUGGAGCAAGAAACUGAUGUUUUGAAGAGUAAAUAGGAAAGAAGGCAGUGUUUAAAUAUUUAUAUAGAAACUCGUUUUUGUGUUUCUUUAAUUACUUUUGUUCUUUUAAAAUGUUUAAUUACAUUUGGUAAUCCUAGGGCCUGAAGUGAAAGGCUUUAAAAAUUUGCUUUUCUUUCUUGACUUUCUUUUUUCCUAUCUCAUCACUACCUGUUAUUUAGUAUACACUAAAUCUUUAAAAUUACAUAGCCCCAGCCCCACCAAGGUUUUCUAAAAAUUGAAAUCAUUGAUUGGGGACAGUAGAAGUUUGUUUUUUUUUUUUUUUCUUACAAUGGUGUAUUUCCCCCUUUUAUAAAUAAGUUGAGUUUUGCUAAAUUAACCUAUUUACUGACUAGUUUUUAUCUCAUCUUCUACUUUCCAGAAUAUAUUGGUAUUUCUCUUGUAGUUAUAACUCCAAAUACAGAGUGAAUAUGAAGAAUUUAAAAAGCUUAAAAUCACCCAGAUUUCAGUUUUGUAUCUGCUAUAGUAACACAAUGGCAAAGGGUUUGCUCUGACUACUUUGCAUUCCAUCACUUUGAAUGUUCAGCAAGAUUUUUAAAAGCCUUAUGUUUUCUGGUAUUGUUGUCUACUUUAACCCUACCUUUAGUAGUUAUCUUUGAUAAAAUUCCCCACUCAUAUUUGGCACUGAUUGUAAUUAUACUCAUUUUUUUAAAAAAAUUAAUAGGAAUGAAAAAAUUUUUAACAUGGUUAAGGGUAGAAUACCAAAGGGAUGUACCUAAAAGUAUUCUUUAGUAAUUAUUUAUUCUUUUUAAUAAGAUGUAGGAAAGGUUGAAACAACUGGAAAAAAAUCUACAUAUCUCUGACUUAAUUGGUGUGUUUUUCAACCAACCAUUCAGAGGUUUUGGGGGUUUUUACCCCCUUAUCCUUUUUGCUAAAGUCAUAUGCUUUUUAAAGGGGUAUAAUUCUUCUAAAAAUCAACAUAGUCAUGUUUCCCAGCCUUGGGAGUGGUAUAUUUAAAUUUAAACAAUGAGUGGUAUUGAACAGAACAAAUCUAUUCUUAAAAAAUUGAUCAAAGUUUGUUACUCAAGUCCUUUGAGCUAAACUAAAAGUUAUAAUUACAGUAUUUAAGAUUUCCUUGAGCAUUUUAAAGAAAUUAAAAUUUAUAUUUUACUUAGUUUUUAAUUUCUUUUAUUCUUUCAUUCUCAUUUUAAAUAUCUUGUAAUAUGACAGCCUUCUUCUGUACCUUUGUUGCUUACAUUUGAGUUGUUUUCUAUAAAAAGACCUGCCCUCUUAAAAUUUACUGCUUACGAUAUGAUGUUUUGUUUCAUUGAUAAAAACAGAUGUAAAUGAGGACUUAUAUUUGACCUGGGGUAUUAUUUUCUUUUCUAGAGGACAGAUAUCCACACUAUUAUCUAAUAAUAGGUUGGUAAUUUUAAAGACUGUAAGGCAGUUAAGGGAAUAAAGUAUGUCAAUAGAUAGUCUUGAGUCUCCAAGUAUAAUUUUGGUUUUUGUUUGUUGUAUUUGGAAAGAAAUUUUUGGAAAGUUCUAUUCCCUAUAGAAGGGCUAUUCUAAGACCCAAGGAAACAGGAAUUUAUUUCCUUUCACACUCCAAAGCAGUAAUUUAGUGGAGUGGCUUUGUGUGAAAAGCUGUACACAGUAUAUUUUAGCAAAUACAAAACAAAAAAACCCAGAUGUUCUUGUAUAGAAUUUUUUUUACUAUUAUGUAUUAUAUAAUUGUCUUCUCAUUAAUUCAGUGCCUUUUUCCUCUAAGCAUGCUCUUUCUUCAUGCCUCAUGCAGUGUCAACUGAUAUUUAAGCCAGACAUAUUACAGUUGUGAGAGCCUUCUGUUGCAAGGGCAUGGGAAAAAUGAAAUAUUAAUUGGGCUGAAAGAGUGCAUACAAUUCUUUUUUGUGUUCUGCCAUCAUUUGGAAUUUGCAUAUAAAUUUUCUAACACUCAUUUGCAAAAUGUUCUAAUUUCAUUGGGAAUUAAUUACUAGCAGCUUUGUAGUAAUAAAUUCAGUAAAUCUGGAGUCCAAGCUCACAUCACAUGUAAUACUUGAUAUUAAAUUAUACCAUCAUUACAUCAAAAUUAGAAUCUGAAGGCUCCCUCUCUGCUGCUGCUUCAGGGUCUCUAAAUUAAGAGCAAAAUGUGAAGUGUUUUAGUUUAACAAUUUUAAGUUGGAUGAAAAAGUCUGUCAUCCUCAUUUUUAAACUAAAAAAUAAUUGAAUAUAGUGCCUAUUUAAAUAAUCUCAAAUAAGGUAACUAUUAACUUGAUAAUAUUUAACAUUUUCAUUGAUGUUUUGAGUUAUAAUGAGCUCUCUUGCUCAAUUCAUUAUGGAAAGUUGCUAAACACUUUUAAAUAUCCUUUAUUGCUUUAUUUACCUUUUGUUUUGACAGGUCAAACAUGACUGCUUUCUAUAAAAGAAAUGCAUGAGAAGUUGACUAUCGUAGGUGCAAAAAUUAUGUUUUAUAAAAAUAUGCAUUAGUAUUGCAUUUCCCUCUUACCAGUUGAAUUCCAAGCCAGUUGUAUUAAACUGGAUAUAGAAAUGAAGGAGCUGCCUUAAGCACUUUAGAAAAGGAAAUUUUCUACAAUUCAUUUUGACACUUGCAGCUUACCAUGUCACAUACAUCUUUAACUUUGGUAAAUAUGUAUAUACCAAGCAUUUAAUAAUAAUGCACAUAGAAAUUUAAUAUACAGUAAUUAUUUGAAUGUUCCAGGUAUAGGUGAAUAAAUUUACAGUAUUAGGGGCAUAUCUUGUCUGUACAUGGGUUUAAUUAUUGGCAUCUGUACCAUUUGACAAACCAUUAACUACUGCUAUACAGCUUACCUUGUUCUGCAAAUAGUAACCAUUCCCUGUGUUAUAUAAAGUGACAUAUUAACUUGCAUUUAUUUUCUCAUUUAUGAAAUUAAAGCAUGAAUAAUAUCAUGUAUAAUUUGAACUGUGAUCCUUGGUGGUAUAAAUAAUAAAAGUAAAUAUUUGUGAUAAAAUCUUUUAAUUAGGCUAAGAUAUUGUUUCAUGACUUACUUAGAAUAAUUAGGUUUUUUUAUGUUUCCAUAAAAUUUUUGUUAUUUGUAUAUUAUUAUUUCUUUUAAAAACAAUUUUGGAAAAGGAUAUAUGUUAAAAAUGAUUAUUCCUCAAAGAGUUUUAAAAGAAAGUAUAACAUCUUAUUAUGAAAUAUGUGAUUCUGGGGUUUAAAAAUUUGGCAAUUUUCAAAUCAUCAUAAUUUCUUAAAGAAUGUAUUUAUUAGAUCUGUGUUCAUUGAUAGGCUAAUUCAUAAAACAAAUAUUUGAGUGUCUGUGAUAUGGCAGUGAAAAUUUUAUUACUUUGCAUUCACAUUUUCAAAACUAGUGUAUUCAAUUUAUUGUGCAGCUAGUUUUGCUUCUUUUUAGUAUGCUGAGACUGCAUUUUAAAAAUAAUGUUUUGUUAAAAAGUCAGAAGUGUUAAAAAGUAAAUUUGUUAGUUUUUAAAAAGCUCAAAUUAACUGCGUAUAAUAUGGUUCACUUUUAUGUAAUCACAUAACAUAGGUUCAGCAAAGCUUAUUUCUUGAGUUUAUUUUUACUAGAUAUAGUCUUUCAGAGAAGUGUAUGGUCACUCUGUAUACAGGUAACCAUAAAAUUAUUUGUUAUUUUUAACCAAAACGUACAUUUCAUAAUGCCAGCACUGGAGUAUUAUAAAGAUCAUGUUUUCUUAGCCAUCAUAGCAAGAUUACCUCAUGUUCAUAGUAGUUUUAGUGGGUUUUUUUUUUUACAGUAUUUACAUUUCUGCAAUUAUGUGUGAUUUUUAAUGUCACAUAUGAUAGCACUGUUACCUGGAAUAUAUGAUUAACCUACAUAAACAUUUUUAAUUGGUUUUGGACAUGUCAUAUAAAGGUUAGUACUGGCUUAAUAAACAGAUACCAGAAAUUGCCACCGUACUUUUCUCCUUGGACUACCCAAUUAUUAAGCUAAAAGUAUUUGUUAUUUUGGGGUCAGUAUAGGGUACUGACUUUUGAUUCAUAAUCUUUUAAGUUAUAUUUGUUUAAGGUGAUAUGUUUUCUUAAUAAUACCCAGUCAAUAUAUGUUAGUCCUUAGGAAUGGAUGUAUAGAGGAUUUCACAGUAAUGUAGGGCAGAAGGUAGGUGAACGUGUUUGCUUUGGCUUGGCACUUAUUAAGUUUGGACUAAUUUAAAAUAAGUCAAAUUGUAAGUGAUUGGCAAAAGCCAUUUUAUUAAUAUUGGAACUUUUUGGAGAGCACAGAACAAUGAGAAUCCAUCUUUUAAAAACAUAUAUAAAACAUUUCUGAUAUCUCUAAGGUACCAAAGCACUGAGUCUAAUUCACCUAAUCUAAGGGAGACUCUUUAAAAUCAAAUUUAUAACUAAUUCAUACUAUAAGAUACAUAAUAGCUAAAGUUUUAGAGUAAUAUAAUUUAUAUUAAAAACCACUAGUCUUUAAAAUACCUAUAUGUGAUAUUAAGAUGAUUUUGGCAUCUUUUUCAAAAGUAUUCAAAAUUUAUCACCUUAGCUUUGUCAUAUACUAGGUCUGUGACAAUUGUGUAAAUCACUCAUCACCUUUGGGCCUCUGUUGCCUUACUUAACUCAUUAUGUCUCAAUUUCCCAAAUAUAAGACACCUAUAAAAACCUAUAAAAUUGCUCAAUUUAAGUUUUUAUAGGUGUCCUAUACAUAGGAGGAGACAGUGGGUUAAAAUAAUUGUAACUUGUUCAGCCUACCUCACAGGGCUGUUGUGAGGAAUAAAUGGAUGGAGUAUGUGAAAUUGCUUCAACAACAGCAAAGUGCUAUGUAAAUGUAAGCUGUUAUUUUUAGUUAAUGGAUUUAAGUGUUCGGAUACUUCUAAAUGCCAUUUACUUUGAUAAAGCAUGUUCUUAAAGUGGUAUCAUCAUUGAUUUUAAAUGUGAUUUUUAAAAUAAAACCUUUUAUCAAGAUGUCAUAUAAUAUUAAUUUAGUUUGUGCAUUACUUGUGGCCUUUUAAUAUUUUCUUAUCUAUUUUAAGACUUUUUAGAGUAGUAAAAGUUCUUCCAUGGCAUUAGUGUAUCAGUGUAGAAGUAUAGCAUAAAGAAACAGUUUUUAAGCAAGCUGCUACUUUUCCAUACAGGAAUUUGAACUUUCAGCUUAAGACUACUCAGUGCCAUGUGCAAAGAGUGAAUUUGGCCUGA